AGUGAACGCUGGCGGCGUGCCAAUACAUGCAAGUCGAACGAGUGGCGCAUGGGUGAGUAAUGUAUACUAAUCUGCUCUACACUAGAGGAGAACAGUUGGAGACGACGCUAUACUAUCUAGUUUAGGAUGAGGCUGUAUUGUAUCAGCUAGUUGGUGAGGUAAUGGCUCACCAAGGCUAGGACGCAUAACUGGUCUGAGAGGAUGAUCAGUCACACUGGAACUGAGACACGGUCCAGACUCCUACGGGAGGCAGCAGUGGGGAAUUGUGGACAAUGGGGGAAACCCUGAUCCAGCCAUCCCGGGUGUGCGAUGAAGGCUUCGGGUUGUAAAGCACUUUUGGCAGGAAAGCGGUACCUGCAGAAUAAGCACCGGCUAACUACGUGCCAGCAGCCGCGGUAAUAC
rnacentral:rRNA from 1 species